AUUGAACGCUGGCGGCAUGCUUUACACAUGCAAGUCGAACGGCAGCGCGGGGCAACCUGGCGGCGAGUGGCGAACGGGUGAGUAAUAUAUCGGAACGUACCCAAGAGUGGGGGAUAACGUAGCGAAAGUUACGCUAAUACCGCAUACGAUCUAAGGAUGAAAGCAGGGGACCGCAAGGCCUUGUGCUCCUGGAGCGGCCGAUAUCUGAUUAGCUAGUUGGUGAGGUAAAGGCUCACCAAGGCGACGAUCAGUAGCUGGUCUGAGAGGACGACCAGCCACACUGGAACUGAGACACGGUCCAGACUCCUACGGGAGGCAG
rnacentral:rRNA from 1 species